AACGAACGCUGGCGGCAUGCCUAACACAUGCAAGUCGAACGAAGGCUUCGGCCUUAGUGGCGCACGGGUGCGUAACGCGUGGGAAUCUGCCCUUGGGUUCGGAAUAACUCAGAGAAAUUUGAGCUAAUACCGGAUGAUGACGUAAGUCCAAAGAUUUAUCGCCCAAGGAUGAGCCCGCGUAGGAUUAGCUUGUUGGUGAGGUAAAGGCUCACCAAGGCGACGAUCCUUAGCUGGUCUGAGAGGAUGAUCAGCCACACUGGGACUGAGACACGGCCCAGACUCCUACGGGAGGCAGCAGUGGGGAAUAUUGGACAAUGGGCGAAAGCCUGAUCCAGCAAUGCCGCGUGAGUGAUGAAGGCCUUAGGGUUGUAAAGCUCUUUUACCCGGGAUGAUAAUGACAGUACCGGGAGAAUAAGCUCCGGCUAACUCCGUGCCAGCAGCCGCGGUAAAGUCGUCCAUGU
rnacentral:rRNA from 1 species